rnacentral:rRNA from 1 species
KUCUCUUUGAUUUUGUUUUAUAAAGAGUUGGGCCUGCUCAGUGAUAUUUUUUAACAGCUGCGGUGUUAUAACUGUACUAAGGUAGCAUAAUAAUUUGCCUUAUAAAUUAGGGCUAGAAUGAAUGGUUUGACGAGAGUUAUACUGUCUCUAUUUUAAUUGUUAGAAGUUAAUUUUUAUAGUGAAAAAGCUUGGAUGGUUUAAAGGGACGAGAAGACCCUGUUGAGCUUAAUAUAUAUAUAUAUAUAUAUAUAUAUAUAUUGGUUGGGGUGUACAAGGAAUAAAAUUUAAAUAGUUUACCUUCCUUAAAAAUUUUUUUUGUUAGGAUAAUAAACCAAUUUAUUGCUUUAAUGAUAAGUUACCAUAGGGAUAACAGCGYAAUUUUUUUAGAGAGUUCUUAUUGAAAAAAAAGAUUGCGACCUCGAUGUUGGAUUAAAAUAACCAUUAGGUGUAGAUGCUUUAUUUGGUGAAUCUGUUCGAUUUUUAAAAUUUUAC